rnacentral:lncRNA from 1 species
AAAACUUUAAAAAACCCCGUGGUUCCGUAGUUUCUCACUUUGCCCCCUAUGGUUUAAAAUGUAUCAAUUUGUCUCCCUGUGGUUUUGUUUUUCUCCUUAUCAAUUUUAUUAUUUUUUUCCGUUAAAUCAGUAAUAAAGUUAAAAUUAAAGGGUACUAAAGUGAAUAUUUGAUAAAUCUAGAUGGAUAUCUGAAGUUUUUUGUAUAUAAUUUAACGAAAUAUUAACGAAAAAGCUAUCGAAAAGAUAAAAACGAAACCAUAGGGGGCAAAUUGAUACACUUUAAACCACAGGGGGGCAAAUUGAGAAACUACGAAACCACAUGGGGGUUUUUGAAGUUUUCCCUUAUAAAUAAAUAUCACAUCAAAUACAC